AACGAACGCUGGCGGCAGGCUUAACACAUGCAAGUCGAGCGAGACCUUCGGGUCUAGCGGCGGACGGGUGAGUAACGCGUGGGAACGUGCCCUUCUCUACGGAAUAGCCCCGGGAAACUGGGAGUAAUACCGUAUACGCCCUUUGGGGGAAAGAUUUAUCGGAGAAGGAUCGGCCCGCGUUGGAUUAGGUAGUUGGUGGGGUAAUGGCCCACCAAGCCGACGAUCCAUAGCUGGUUUGAGAGGAUGAUCAGCCACACUGGGACUGAGACACGGCCCAGACUCCUACGGGAGGCAGCAGUGGGGAAUCUUAGACAAUGGGGGCAACCCUGAUCUAGCCAUGCCGCGUGAGUGAUGAAGGCCUUAGGGUUGUAAAGCUCUUUCAGCUGGGAAGAUAAUGACGUACCAGCAGAGAG
rnacentral:rRNA from 1 species